rnacentral:rRNA from 1 species
AUUGAACGCUGGCGGCAUGCCUAACACAUGCAAGUCGAACGGCAGCAUGGUAUUAGCUGCUUGAUUCAGGGGGCGAGGGGAGCGCGUGUGUAAUAUAUCUGGAAGUCCACUGUUGCGGGGGGUAUAAAGUCGGGAGACUUACUCUAAUCGCGCACACGACGAGCGUGAGAGAGCAGGGGAGCUUCGGCUCUUGCUCGAGUAGAGGACGCUAUGUCGGAUUAGCUAGUUGGUGGGGUAAAGGCCCACCAAGGCGACGAUCUGUAGCUGGUCUGAGAGGAUGAUCAGCCACACUGGAACUGAGACACGGUCCAGACUCCUACGGGAGGCAGCAGUGGGGAAUAUUGGACAAUGGGCGAAAGCCUGAUCCAGCAAUGCCGCGUGUGUGAAGAAGGCCUUCGGGUUGUAAAGCACUUUUGUUCGGAAAGAAAUGCAGCAGGUUAAUACCUGGCUGUGAUGACGGUACCAAAAGAAUAAGCACCGGCUAACUUCGUG